rnacentral:lncRNA from 1 species
GCCAAUUAAUGCAUCUCGACUUUUUGGGAAGCCUGACUACAAGCAAGUAGCCCCCAAGGCCCCAGGUAAUGAUUGCUAUUUCCAUCUUUGUCCAGGAGAAAAAAAAAAAAAAAAACGAGCUGAAGACAGCCUUCAUUCCAAGAGUAUUUUGGGCCACUGAUUUUUAUCACCCAGAAAUCAAUCAGAAGGGCACACAAUGCCUAGAAAUCCCAAACCAGCUACUACAUCUAAGAGGUUCAUGAAUGAAGGCCACGGUGUUUGUGAAUACAAGAGAAGAGAGAAAAUGUGUCUCGCUAGCAAAAUUCAAAGGAGAUGCCCAUCAAGAAGAAAACAAAAGCUUUCCUCUGACACCAUCUGGCAUAAGAAAGAGUCUCUUGGAUCUGAAAGUUUUGGAGGUCAUCUGAGCUACCACUUUUUCUGCUAUGGUAGGUGGUGGUGAAACUUCCAAUCUAGUCCAUACAUUACAGCUGCACCUGUGACAGAACUAAAGGAACUUUUGGCAACACCAAAAAUUAUGAGUUUUACUCCUCUUGGGAAGGAAGGAAGAGUGCUUGUGGUAGCAUAAGAGAUUUUUGUAUCAUGCUAAUAAAACACCUUUUUUUUUUUAAGUUUAAGUGUUU